UACCAUCCGGGGUUCUCCAUGAUGUUGCGGAGGAUCACGGCGGGGACAUGGGUGCCGUAGUAGCCCAUCCCGAUGAAGGACUUGAACAUCUUGUUCUUGUUGGCCAGGUACUGCAUGUGCUCGACCAUCUGGCUCUCGGUGAGGCCCUCGUCGAACUUGGAGAACUUCAUGGACGGGAGACGGAUGGCCUUGGGGACGGUCGCGUCGAUGAGCUGCUCCACCCCCGGGAAUCCGCACGCCUCCGCCAUCUUCACUUGCUCAUCAGGGGUAGCAGAAUUGUGGCGUCGCUGGAAGGUGUCGCUUGGCUUGAGGGCCUCCACCGAGAUGGAGCGUCUCUGGCCGGCAGCGGCAGCAGCCGCAGCAUUGCGGGGCAGCAGAUCGACCGAGGGCGAGGACGAGGACGGUACAGACGGCGACUGGUUGGGGAAGAUGGAGCGGGCGAGUGAAGAGACGUAGCGGGAGGAGGUAAGGUGGGGUUGGAGGGGACGAGGCCCCUGCCUGGUCAGGUGAACCAGGCGGUCGAGGAUCGCGCGAUUGGCAAGCUUCCUUGCGCGCUCCAUGGAUAACCCCCCCUACUUCCUCUCCUCCCCAGGCGCGCCUGGCCGAUGCGGACGAAUACGGAAGGCAGAGAAGGGGAGAGCAGGAGCAGGCUUAAAAGGGCCUCGCCUCCUCUGCUCCUCCCUCCACCAGCCCCCUCGCCAAUACCCUCCUCAAAUCUCUCCGCCCCGCUCCGAUCGCGAUAUACCCCGCCUCCCCGGAGCCGCACAGAUCCAGUGGCGGUGAUGGUGGGCCUAGGGAUCGGGUUGGUGGACGAGGGUGACGAGUGGAAGAAAAACGGAAGGCGACAGCCAGCAAGAGGGGGUGGGAGCUGACGUAGGCGCGGGGCUCGGGGAGAUGGCCGCUCCUCCCCCACCCUCCGCCAUAUCAGCUCCACGCCCUCAGAUUCGUGGACGGCGUGUAGCAGAACCGGAUGGCCUUUGAGC
rnacentral:lncRNA from 1 species